GGAAGGCAGAGCCUUGUAGGGGGCUCAGAACUUUGGGUUUAAAGGGAAGAAGGAGCUGUGAAGGGUGUUAAGCCAGGAUGUCAGGAGCCAUGAGCCUGAGGCUGCAGAGAGAUGGAUCAAGACCUCAUGCUUGCCUAUCGACUUCAUGCUGGAAAGCGAGGCUCUGCUAACAGACAAGCGUCCCCGCCCUUGCCCUGUGCUUGCUGAUCCUCUUUUCCAGGAAGGCUGUCGUGUUGCUGGGAACAGGCUUCUGCAGUGGAAGCACCUCGCUCUAGGCCUGGAAUGAACAGACGCUCAGUACUAGGGGAGCCAAGGCAUUCGGCACCUUGACGGAGGUGGAGGAGAUACAGCCAGAAGUCAGCGGAAACACAGGAACCAAGUUUCACGGCAAAAUUCUAGCUCCAUAAGCUUUUUCCCUGGGAAGGUCUCCCGAGAGGUUACUCUGGAUUCUUCCAACAUCAGUGCCCUUGGACUUGGUUUCCAGUCCUUUCCCAUAUCAGGUCCCUCCUCAACUGAUGGAACCUCACUAACAGGGGUCACAUGCUCACCCCCACAUCCCGCCAACAUCUACCUGCUGUUCCAAGACUCUUAAGUCUUUGCUUGCCUGGUUUUUGCUACCAGAGGUGCCUGUUAUUCAGCUCACAUGGCGAAUCUCAGCGCAACCUUCCAGGGUUCCUGAGUUGGAGCUGCCUCGAGGUGAAGCCUUUGCCGGCCCACACGCUACUGUGGAGAUGGCUACAGCCCCUCUCCCAAUUUCACUGGCCUCCUUGAUUUACUUACUACUUUUUCUGACUUGCCUGCCAGCUGUUUUUCUGGAGUCCCAAGUGUAUACCAAACACUCAAAGUUUGCAGAGAAAAUAAAUACAUAGACCUGUUCAUAAUUUUGAUCAGCUUUGUUCAAGCCCCUUAAAUAGAACACUGAUUCGGUCCCAAAGUAAUUAAUCUGUCUGAUAUUUUUCCCCUCUCGACUAUUUAAAAAAUAACGUGACUUCAGCUUAAUUAGCCAGAAGCCGCUGUCUAUUGUUUUAUGAGGCAAGUCUGAGUAGAUUUUAAAGCAAUUCAUGGACACUGUGUUUACCUUCCUCGUCUCUUUCUCAGUGAACGCCUGGCAUUCCUUCAUGGUGGGUCUUACACAUUUACGUCUGAUAAUUUACUUAAGAAAUGAAAACAUGCAAAUGAGGCAAGUAGGUGUUUAAAGACGUGUGGGGUUCUGCUUAUUCCUGAGUUGUAUUAUUGGUCAAGACAACAUUCGACUGCUGACUUAGUGUGUUUCUGUGAGGCAGGGAUGGUAAGAGGACUGAGUGAACCGGGGCAAACCUAGAAGCCAGCCAGGUGACCUCCAGGCCAGGGUGAAGAUAAAGGUCAGUGACACUUUUAUCCCUCCAUCUUAUAAUAGCAAGCCUUGUUUCUGUGCAGUAAACUCCCAUUUUCAAUUACAAGUUGCAAUUUUCAUAUGGGUGCUUAGUGCGGGGGCUAAUAUUUUUUGCCUGUGGGUUUCCUGCCAGCUUCUCAUAUGGCAAGACAUAGAUAAGGGAUUUAUGUUCUGGGAAAAAAAAGUCACAUAUUUUUUAGUGGAAAAGAAAAAA